rnacentral:snRNA from 1 species
GGAUGUGAGGGUGAUCUGGCUGUGACACCUGUGCCCCAGUGGCCGCCAGGGUUGAUUUGGCUGAUCUGGCUGGCUAGGUGGGUGAGUCCUCUCCCUUACACUCCAUGUGUGUACCUCUUGAAGCUGCACGCUCGAUCAAAGAGGACAACCACCCCUGAUAGAGGAGGACCGUUUCCUUGGUCAAGGGUGUAGGAGUACCCGAGCUUCCCUGCUAGACCCUCCAAAUAAGCUCACAAGAACCUGGAACUAAAAGUGACAUCAACAUCUAAAGUCACAGGCACCAUCAGGU